rnacentral:rRNA from 1 species
UACGAAGGUUGCAAGCGUUACUCGGAAUUACUAGGCGUAAAGGGCAGGUAGGUGGUUUGGUAAGUCUAUUGUGAAAGCUCCCGGCUUAACUGGGAGAGGCCAAUGGAUACUGCCAAGCUUGAGUAUAGGAGAGGUUACUGGAAUUCCUGGUGUAGCGGUGAAAUGCGUAGAUAUCAAGAGGAACACCUGAGGUGAAGACGGGUUGCUGGGCUGACACUGACGCUGAGGCGCGAAAGCCAGGGGAGCAAACGGG